rnacentral:rRNA from 1 species
UACGGAGGGUGCAAGCGUUAUCCGGAUUCACUGGGUUUAAAGGGUGCGUAGGCGGAAUUGUAAGUCAGUGGUGAAAGCCCUUCGCUUAACGAAGGAACUGCCAUUGAUACUGCAAAUCUUGAGUACAUUUGAUGAGGGCGGAAUGUGUCAUGUAGCGGUGAAAUGCUUAGAUAUGACACAGAACACCGAUUGCGAAGGCAGCUCUCAAAACUGUAACUGACGCUGAGGCACGAAAGCGUGGGUAUCAAACAGG